rnacentral:tmRNA from 1 species
GGGGGCGCAAACGGUAAUCGAUUCUUGCGCAUCCCCGUUCGUGGCAAGUCGAGGGCUCGCGAGUGGGUUGGCCUCGUAAAAAAACCCGCUCGAAAAAGAUAACUGCCGACCACGAGUUGGCUCUUGCUGCCUAAGCGAACUGCUGGACAGCAAGCGUUUAUUUCGACCCGCGCCGGUACGGGCGAGAUAAGCGUGUUCUUCUGCCGGACGACCUGCUCAUGGUUGCGGGCUCCAGGAGCGGGUGGCAAGGAAAAGCCCGGCGUACCGCCUGCAUCGCGUGUAGCCCGGCUGGCGGCGGGCGCGUUAUGUUCAUCGGGCUACUAAACUUGUAGAAGCGAACGGGAGUCCGCGAGAAGACGAGGGUUCGACUCCCUCCGCCUCCACUU